AGGGUCUGGAUGACGGGCUAGCUAGCGAGACGAGUCUCACAUAGCCUGGUGAUCUUGGACUGUGUGUGUUUGGACUGACGAGGACGUCAGGGCCUUAACGGGGGGAGUCUGUGACACCCCAAUAGUCCCACAUCGGAUGGAUGGGAAAGGGAUUAUCAUUGGGUUUAUAAGAGACUUAGACACUAGUAAUAAUAACUGGGCUUAAGCAUUUUGGGCUGUUGGCUGGGCCCAACGAGUUAUUAUUGCUAGUGGGCUGGGUCGUUACAGUCAUGUUCAGCAAUUUUCAACUAUCCAUUUUAAAUAAAUUUUUAAAUAAUAAUUUAUUCUUAAAUAUAGAUCUUAAGUUUUCGCCAUUGGAUCUUAUCCAACGAAUAAAAAUAAAAGUAUCUGUCAUUUUUAUUGACAAAAAUACCCUCCAUAUCCAUUAUCUUCUAUCUACGCCGCGUUUCUCAAAUAUUUUUUUUCUAUCCACCAAUCAUAUAAUACGUAAAAUUAAAUUUAUCUCUUAUCUAAUAUAAUACCCACUGAUCACGUAAUACCUCUGCUAAUCACGUAAUACGUAAAAUUAAAUUUAUUUCCUAUCCAAGCAUUUUCUCAAAUAUUUUUUUGCUCAAACGUAAUACCUACCAAUCGAGUGGUAUUCAAAAUUAAAUUUUAAAUUUGAAAUGCCCGCCAAAAUUUAAUACCUGCGAAUUUGAUAAUUUGAAUUUUAAUUCAUAAUUGUAGAUUUUUCCUUACAUAAGAUGGUAUAUUUAAUUUUGACGAGUAUUAAAAUUUAGCGCGCCAUAGAAGGGUUAAAUAUUGCUAAAAAAAUUUUAAUACCCCAAAUCAAAACUAAAUCGUUAAUUAAAUAUAAUUUUAAAUAUUUUUAGUGAAAUAUUCAAUAUUUAAAUAAUGCGUCAUAAAAGUAUAGAAUAUUUCUAAAAAAAAUUAAUGCAUGUCCAAUCAAAACUGAAUCGUUAAUUAAAUAUAAUUUCUAACUUUUUUAGCAAAAUAUUCAACAUUUAAAUAAUAUCCACCAAAAUAUUCUUCCCAUUCUCAAAUAUAGAAUAUAUCAUAAUAUCCUCGCAUAUAAUAUCUACACUAACUAAUCUUAUCUCAUCAUAAUAUUUAUCACACAAUAUAUACAUCAUAUCUUUUUUUGUUAGCAUAUCGUUUUUGGUGUUUUCUUAUUUUCACCUAUACGUUUCUUACAUAUAAAGCAUAUAUAUUUUUUAGUAGUAUCCUUUUUUAUUUUUAUCUAUAUUUUUCUCAAAUAUUUUUUAGUAAUAUCUUUUCUCAUUUGUCACAACGGUACAUCAUCAUCGUCCUACUCAUCAU
rnacentral:lncRNA from 1 species